AGAGUUUGAUCCUGGCUCAGGAUGAACGCCGGCGGUGUGCCUAAUACAUGCAAGUCGAACGCGUUGGCCCAACUGAUUGAACGUGCUUGCACGGACUUGACGUUGGUUUACCAGCGAGUGGCGGACGGGUGAGUAACACGUAGGUAACCUGCCCCAAAGCGGGGGAUAACAUUUGGAAACAGAUGCUAAUACCGCAUAACAAUUUGAAUCGCAUGAUUCAAAUUUAAAAGAUGGUUUCGGCUAUCACUUUGGGAUGGACCUGCGGCGCAUUAGCUUGUUGGUAGGGUAACGGCCUACCAAGGCUGUGAUGCGUAGCCGAGUUGAGAGACUGAUCGGCCACAAUGGAACUGAGACACGGUCCAUACUCCUACGGGAGGCAGCAGUAGGGAAUCUUCCACAAUGGGCGCAGGCCUGAUGGAGCAACACCGCGUGAGUGAAGAAGGGUUUCGGCUCGUAAAGCUCUGUUGUUAGAGAAGAACGUGCGUGAGAGCAACUGUUCACGCAGUGACGGUAUCUAACCAGAAAGUCACGGCUAACUACGUGCCAGCAGCCGCGGUAAUACGUAGGUGGCAAGCGUUAUCCGGAUUUAUUGGGCGUAAAGCGAGCGCAGGCGGUUUGAUAAGUCUGAUGUGAAAGCCUUUGGCUUAACCAAAGAAGUGCAUCGGAAACUGUCAGACUUGAGUGCAGAAGAGGACAGUGGAACUCCAUGUGUAGCGGUGGAAUGCGUAGAUAUAUGGAAGAACACCAGUGGCGAAGGCGGCUGUCUGGUCUGCAACUGACGCUGAGGCUCGAAAGCAUGGGUAGCGAACAGGAUUAGAUACCCUGGUAGUCCAUGCCGUAAACGAUGAGUGCUAGGUGUUGGAGGGUUUCCGCCCUUCAGUGCCGCAGCU
rnacentral:rRNA from 1 species